AAGACACGGCGAUCCCUCCGAGCUUCCCCAGCGAGCGCGUGUCCAGACUCGCAGCGCCAGAGAUCAAACUGCAAACCACCAAAGGAAGGAUGAUCAUCUUGAGCAUCCUCAGCAGCAUCUCUCCGGGGAAGGCGAAAAAUAACAUUUCACAGCUGCCAAACCAGGAGCAGGAAGCUGAGUGUGCUCUCCAGUCGUUACUAUAAUACACUGAACCCUACUGUGAGGAGGCUUGGACAAAACAAGACUGUGAAGAUUUUAAGCCCCAGAUAGUUCCAAAAUGUCUUCUGGUACACUGAAAAGAAUCUUAAGAAGGAGCUUGUGUUAAAGGUAUGGUAUUGUUAAAAGCAUUGUAAAAGUAAUGCUAUGAGAUAGAGGGUAAAAAAAUGUCUGACCUUAUGUAAAAUCUAACCACAUCCUGCAGCUGUUGCAUGCUUAAGAAAGAUGAGCUCUCUCCAUAUGACUAUGACCCCCUCCUAAUCUAGUUACAAAUCUGAUUUCUGUGCCAGAUUUACCUUAAAUGUAUUUGAUGGUUUACUUUGUAGAACAAUUGGUUUAAAUUUGUCUUCCAUCCCAAUAUAUGGCUUCCAUCUAUGUAAUUUAGAGAUGUUAAAAAUGCUUCUAAACAUAUAUUGUAUGUUUACUCAUUAGUACAGUAAUCUGUACAUUAUAAGCAACGUCUAUACUCUACUGCGCUUUUCUGUUGUCUAAUAUGUAUAAAACCAGAAGUGAACAGAAAGGCAGCUCACGUAUAAAUAAGAAAGAGAAGCAGAAUUGAACUGCGUAAGACUGUAAUAACAUUCUCAACCCACCAGAUGGCAUUCUUUUGUCUUGUAAUGUUCUUCUCUAUUGGAGAAAAAUACUGGGUGUGAUUGCAAACCCCUCAGGCACUACUGAUCAUUGCUUAUUCGACAUAUAAGCACAAAAUCUUGUAAUAUAUUUUAAAUAUAUGUUAUUUUCUGUUC